UACGUAGGUGGCAAGCGUUGUCCGGAUUUAUUGGGUUUAAAGGGUGCGUAGGCGGCUUUGUAAGUCAGUGGUGAAAUAUGGCAGCUCAACUGUCAGGGUGCCAUUGAUACUGCGGAGCUUGAGUACAGAUGAGGUAGGCGGAAUUGACGGUGUAGCGGUGAAAUGCUUAGAUAUCGUCAAGAACACCGAUAGCGAAGGCAGCUUACUGGGCUGUAACUGACGCUGAGGCACGAAAGCGUGGGUAGCAAACAGG
rnacentral:rRNA from 1 species